rnacentral:rRNA from 1 species
AUUGAACGCUGGCGGCAUGCCUUACACAUGCAAGUCGAACGGUAACAGGGAGCUUGCUCCGCUGACGAGUGGCGAACGGGUGAGUAAUGUAUCGGAACGUACCUUUUAGUGGGGGAUAACGUAGCGAAAGUUACGCUAAUACCGCAUAUUCUCUGAGGAGGAAAGCAGGGGACCUUCGGGCCUUGCGCUAAUAGAGCGGCUGAUAUCAGAUUAGCUAGUUGGUGAGGUAAAGGCUCACCAAGGCGACGAUCUGUAGCGGGUCUGAGAGGAUGAUCCGCCACACUGGAACUGGGACACGGCCCAGACUCCUACGGGAGGCAGCAGUGGGGAAUUUUGGACAAUGGGGGCAACCCUGAUCCAGCCAUGCCGCGUGAGUGAAGAAGGCCUUCGGGUUGUAAAGCUCUUUCGGCCGGGAAAAAAUCGCAUGGGUUAAUACCCUGUGUGGAUGAUGGUACCGGAAUAAGAAGCACCGGCUAACUACGUGCCAGCAGCCGCCGUAA